AGAGUCUUCUUCCACUCCGCGCUAAGGAUUCUGGAAGCAAGGAAAUAACGCGAGAGACGGUCGCCUUCUCGCGAGAUCUGCACCACAAACGGAUGACAACUUUUCGGAGACAAGUUCUUUAGAUUGAAAGGGGAAGUUCCAGUGAUAGGAAACCAAAAUGAUUCAAAUUCCAGAUAGCUGCUGCUGCUGUUUUAAACAAAAAUUCCCCCGAGAGAGGUGUGAGGAUUAAAAUAUGUUAAAGUACGACGGACUUACAGCCGCCUUUUCUGAGGAGGAAGUAACCCCAAGGGUACUGGAGUGGGGUGCCAUUGCUAUAGUCAGUAAUAACUACAUGAAUCAUUAAGAUGAGUUUAAUUGUCUUUACUAUAAUUAAGCUAUCACAACUCAGUGAGAUAAGAACAUGACAGAAUUUUAUUUUCUCUAUACUUAAUUGCUUUUUGUGGUACUCAAUCAAAUACACCUUGUCCUUCCCUUGACAAUAACUCAGGCGGAUUUCAUAAUAUCUUGGUCACCCUUGGUUACUAACAGUCCAAGUUGGUUUGAAAUAUCAACUUCAAACUCUAAUAUAUUCACAAUUCUUACUCUCCCCUCUUAUAAGGCUUGACCUGAGGGAUAGGAGGAAGAUGUAAUUUGCUUUCAUUUGUUUCAUGUUUAAGUGGAAGUGGCUGUGGUCUGCUUUGAGUUGUGCUUUUCUCAUUUCCUUUUCUUGAUAUAGCCCAGAGGUUCCCAAACUUUUCUCAGCUUAUGGUACCCUUAUUGUUUUAGUAAUUUUUUCACAACAUCCCUCAGUGCUUCCUUGUUGCCUAUUAUCCCUCUUUUUUUUUUUCUUUUUUUUUUAAGAUCUUAGUUGCAACAGGUAAGUUCUUAGUUGUGGCAUGUUGGAUCUAGUUUCUUGACCUGGAAAUACCCCCCUGGAUUGAGAGAGCAGAGUCUUAGCCACUGGGCCACCAGGGAAGUCCCACCUUUUGAUUUUUAAGAAGCACUGCCACCUGGGAAGACUCAGUAAGUCUCAGCAAUUAUUCCAUGUUAUUUCUCUACAUUUUCCAACUCCCUUGUUAGGUGGGACUGUACAAUUCAUUCUGGUCAGUGGGCUACUAAUGAAAGCAACAUGUGUCAAUUCCAAACUAUAUUAUAGAAGAGAUGUGAAAGCAGUGAUUGUGGGGGCUAUAUAUUAAGGUCAAAGAGCUGUGAGGUAAACACUACAUAGAAUAUGUACCUGGUCACCAUAUCAAAGGUGCUUGACUCUCUCCAAAUUUUGCAUAGGUGAAAAAUAGCUUUUAUUAACUUUUAUUGAAUAAAUACACUGUUAGUUUAGGGCUAGUAAAUUUUUUUCCCGUGGUAAAGCCUAUUCUUUUACCAUUAAAAAUAUACUCUGUGAUAGCUCAUUUUAUGUGUCUGUUUGACUGACCAUAAGGUACCCAAAUGAAACAUUAUUUAUGGGUGUGUAGCUGAGGGUGUUUCUAGAUGAGAUUAACAUUUGCCUUGGUGAACUCAGUAGAGUAGAUUGCUUUCCCUAAUAUGGUAGGGCAUCAUAUAACCCACUGAGGGCCAGAAUACUACAGAAGGUGGAGAAAAGAAAAAUCAUCCCCUUUUUCAUGCCUCACUGAUUAUGCUGAGACAUCUCAUCUUCAACAAUCAGCCUGGGUUCUGCAGCAUCAACGCCCCUUGGUUCUUAGGCUUUCAAACUUAGGCUGAAUUACACCACCAGCUUUUCUGGAUCUCCAGUUUGCAGAUGACACAUCAUGGGACUUUUCAGCCUCCAUAGUCACAUAAGCCAAUUUUUCAUGCUGCUGCUGCUGCUGCUAAGUCUCUUCAGUCGUGUCCGACUCUG
ensembl:lncRNA